AACUUUUAGCAAUGGAUCUCUUGGCUCUCGCAUCGAUGAAGAACGCAGCGAAAUGCGAUAAGUAAUGUGAAUUGCAGAAUUCAGUGAAUCAUCGAAUAUUUGAACGCACCUUGCGAUCCCUGGUAUUCCGGGGCGCACGCCUGUUCGAGUGUCGCGAAAUUUCUCAAGCUUGGAUGGCCUUUUUGUCUGUCCUUAGCCUUGGUUGUUGGGCUUUGCCGUGUCCUUUGUUGGGACGGCUGGCCUUAAAAGCAUUAGCUGAUCCUCGUGUGGCACUGAUUCUACUCAGCGUUAUAUCAGUCUGAUCGCUGAGGACAUCUUUUGAGAUGGCCAGUUCUCAUUUGGGUUGCUUCCAAACUUGGUUUUGCAGAUUCUUCAAUCUGUGUUCCACUUUUCAGCUUUGACCUCGAAUCAAGUAGGACUACCCGCUGAACUUAAGCAUAUCAAUAAGCGGAGG
rnacentral:misc_RNA from 1 species